rnacentral:rRNA from 1 species
CGAACGCUGGCGGCAGGCCUAACACAUGCAAGUCGAGCGCGUGUAGCAAUACACGAGCGGCAGACGGGAGAGUAACACGUGGGAACGUACCCUUCGGUUCGGAAUAACCCAGGGAAACUUGGAUUAAUACCGGAUACGUCCGAAAGGAGAAAGAUUUAUCGCCGAAGGAUCGGCCCGCGGCUGAUUAGCUAGUUGGUGAGGUAACGGCUCACCAAGGCGACGAUCGGUAGCUGGUCUGAGAGGAUGAUCAGCCUCACUGGGACUGAGACACGGCCCAGACUCCUACGGGAGGCAGCAGUGGGGAAUAUUGGACAAUGGGCGCAAGCCUGAUCCAGCCAUGCCGCGUGGGUGAUGAAGGCCCUAGGGUUGUAAAGCCCUUUCGGCGGGGAAGAUAAUGACGGUACCCGCAGAAGAAGCCCCGGCUAACUUCGUGCCAGCAGCCGCGGUAAUACGAAGGGGGCUAGCGUUGCUCGGAAUCACUGGGCGUAAAGCGCACGUAGGCGGAUCGUUAAGUCGGAGGUGAAAUCCUGGAGCUCAACUCCAGAACUGCCUUCGAUACUGGCGAUCUUGGAGUCCGGGAGAGGUGAGUGGAACUCCGAGUGUAGAGGUGAAAUUCGUA